AGUUUUAUUUUUGUGGCAGAGAGGAUACAAACCAACCGAUCCAGCUGCCUCAACACGAAGGGCCCGAAGCUGCUUUUCCCCUCGCGCAAAGCUCACCUUUGCUGAACAUAGUCCUAACACACCACAUACAUGUGAGGAUAAGGACCAGUUGGGAGCUUUAUGGGGGGCGAUGAGAAAAACAACUUGCCCGUCAUACAGCCUGUCCUGGUGGUGCAGCAGUUUGACACCCGUGAGUGUGGGGCUGACUAAGGAGCAGGGCCGGGGUGUGGAGAAGCAUCUUUGCAGGGACAGAGAGCUCAGGCUAAAACGAACCCUGCAGCCAUCUAGCGGACAAGAAGCGCUAACAGACACACGUAGGUCGCUAACGGACACACGUAGGUCACUAACAGACACACGUAGGUCGCUAACAGACACACGUAGGUCGCUAACAGACACACGUAGGUCGCUAACGGACACACGUCGGUCGCUAACAGACACACGUCGGUCGCUAACAGACACACGUAGGUCGCUAACAGACACACGUCGGUCGCUAACAGACACACGUAGGUCGCUAACAGACACACGUAGGUCGCUAACAGACACACGUAGGUCGCUAACAGACACACGUAGGUCGCUAACAGACACACGUAGGUCGCUAACAGACACACGUCGGUCGCUAACAGACACACGUCGGUCGUUAACAGACACACGCAGGUCGCUAACAGACACACGUCGGUCAUUAACAGACACACGUCGGUCGUUAACGCACACACGUCGGUCACAAA